GUUGUUCUUGGUACUUUGUUCCUCUAAGCUCAUCGAACAUCUGCCAGGAAGGAACCGUUUCGAAUUCAGACUCAGCAAAUCGGCUUCCCUCGUCUGUGGCGGCGAAGAUCACAAGUACGUAAGUGUGGAGAAGUCGAGGAUGUCUGAAAUAAACCCUUCAGUAUUGCCUCAGGAACUCAACAUAUGCAACACCAAGGUGAAAACAAUAAAUUAGAGGAUGCUAGUGAUAAACAAGUUAUUAAUGACAAAUCAAUGAUUGAAUCCUAUGAGAUCGUGUACGGCUUGGGUAAUCAAGUUGCCAAAGAAGGGGAUCAGGUAAGAAUCAAGUUUCAACAUCUAAGUGAGAGUGGUGGUGUUGAAUUUGAAAAGGGCCCUCUGUUCUGACUUUGGGGAAGAAGCAAUAUGGUCGAGGAUUUGAUAAUGGGAUUUGCGGAAUGAAAGUGGAGGGAUUCAGAGAACUCAGAAUCCAACCAGAUCUUUUGCCCAACGAGCUUUCAUCUGAGACUUCUGAAGAAAAUCAUUGGGAUGCGCAUGCGCUCGAAGAAUAAAAAGAUAUUUCGUGUGGCGCUAUUGGCCAUCUUGGAACACAAGCCUCUCACUUGAACUCAUUAGAAGAAGCAAGAGCAGAUAAUGCCAAGCAAGAACCUUAUGAGAAAAUUAAUGCCAAAUCAAGAAUUUUAACACUGAAACAUGCAAAAAAGGAAUACUGAAUUUGGAAAUGUUAGUAUUGAAGAAAUUUUAAUUUGACAUUAAUAUUUUUACGAGGUCCUUGCUUGUCAUUCUCCUGAGAUUUUAUGUUGUACAAAAUGGAUGGAUUUCAAUUUUUGAGGAUUUGUUCCUAUAUAGUGAAGGGGCAACGUAGUAAAGGGACUUCUUAACCAUAUGUACAUUAAUCUUGUAUGGUUUGUUGUUAUCAAGAGUUAAAACUCUGGAUGGAUAUUGCUUCUAUAGCAAAAUCUGAAAUAAAUUGCAGAAAACUUUUGGCUCAAA